UUUUCUUCUCUUUGUCCCUGAUUUCAAAAUCCAGGGAGGAAACAAGUGAAAAGUUUGCUUUGCAGUCGAUGUGCCACAAUAUAUGAGUUUUCAUCAAAAACUUCAAAUAUUUUCAGGUAGAGUUAUCUCUAGACACUCAGAAGCAAUUAACAUUGUCUGCUUUAUAAAACGCAUUCUGCCCAUGCCUGUUUGUCAUGCAACUGUAUAAAUAUUAUUUUCAGGGUUUCUGCUAAAGCUGUGAUUGCUCAUCCCGGAGUCACUGGACUGACUCGGCAAGAUGAGAAACUGAGGCGCAGAUUUUCCCUGAUACCUAACUCUUCCAGAUUGCAUGGCUUGGAAAUAACAUUGAGCAUCAGUUCAAGAUCACAGCCAUUUGGAGGACAAAGCAGGGAUUUCCCAGGCCGUGAUUCAGCACAGCUUCGUUCCAGCAUGAUGGAAUUCAUGGGUGAGGCUGAGAUGGUAGUGCCCUGGUGGAUCUUUCCAUCAAAUCCACUGGACUUCAGGGAUCCAGCAGUGAUUUUUGACAGAAAACGAGGGCUGGCAAAUGAAAUGGCUGUGUGGGGUAAGAAGAAGAUAGCACACUUGCUCAGAGGACGGCUUUUCACUUGGCGCUGUCGUGCCCAGGACUGGGCUCCAAAAGCAAGCACGUGAAACAACAACCAGCUGGUAGAGCUACUUACACCAGGAAAAGAAAUGCUGAGAAGGAGAGCUGAGGAGAGCAGUGACCACCAGGAAAGCGAGUAUGGGGUAUGAAACAAGAAGAUUUGGCCUUACAUUGGGUGAGUUCCUUGCUGAGUUUGCUUCUAUCUGUCAGCUUUGUUUGGUGCCAUGCUUCACAAUUCAAACUGAUAGCAAGUAUCUGAGUCAAAUAAGUGAAUAUUUUUGCUAAAUGUUGUCUGUCACAUCCUGUUACUGCAGUUUGCCUUCUCCACCAUAUGUACUAACAUGAUGUAGUGGAACGCAACAUGAAGCAACCUGAGUGAUUUAAUGCGACAUGACAGUAAAAUAUUGCUGCAGCUUUCAGAAUAAACACCUGCUUUUAGCAGUUAUUUUGUCUGCU
rnacentral:lncRNA from 1 species